AUGUCGACGUCGGUGUCGACGUGCCAGCGGCGCCAGACGGGUAGGUCCAUGCUAACACCGGCGUGGAUGAGCUGGCGGCGGCCACCUCCGGUGACUUCGUCGUUCAUGUGGCCCGCGCCGCCUGCCACCUCGUUGGCCAGCAUCCUGCCGGCCACCGCGGUGGGCAUGACGGAGCUCAGUUGCAGGACGACGCCGACCAGGACAAGGAGCAGCACCGUGUUCCGAGCACCGGAGGCCAUCGAUCGAUCGCCGCUGGUCUGGCCUGGCCGGUGGAAUGAGGAGCUUGCUUUGAUUCUAAGUACUUCGUUACACUAG
rnacentral:rRNA from 1 species